CUCUUACAUCAGUAGACAAAGAUUCCCUUCCAUGGCAACUGUUUAUGGAAUGAGGGAAUUUUGAGAAAAUGAGUCUCACAUGAAGAGCAUUCAGAUGAACCCCUUUACAACAAGAGGAGAAGGACUAUGAUGCCUUAUUGUUGCCAGUUGAGCACUUUCUCCCAGGCGCAUCAGGAGUUCAGAAGAUUAUUUCUCCCAGACUUCAGUCUCGUCUUCCCAUUUCUUCACUUCUGACACAAGUCACUGACAAAACACCACGGAUGAUAUGCAUCAUAUGAAGGGCUCUGUGGUACUUCAUCUAUGAACUGUUUUAGAAGUGUGUAGAAAUGUAGGGAAACUCGAGUGUGAUGAAGUCCUAAAAGAGGCAGUUCUGUAAACUGAUUUCCUACAAUACACUUCACUAUCAGUU